AGCAGUGUGGUGUAGUGGUAAGAUAUGAGGCUCGUAACCAAAAGGUUGCUGGGUCGAUUCCCCGCUGGGG